GUCUGGGUAUCUCAGCGAGUAUUGACGCUGACUAUCACCCCUGGAGUCGUGAGUUUGAAUCCAGGGUGUGCUGAGUGACUCCAGCCAGGUCUCCUAAGCAACCAAAUUGGCCCGGUUGCUAGGGAGGGUAGAGUCACAUGGGGUAACCUCCUCGUGGUCGUGAUUAGUGGUUCUCGCUCUCAGUGGGGCGUGUGGUAAGUUGUGUGUGGAUCGUGGAGAGUAGCAUGAGCCUCCACAUGCUGUGAGUCUCCGCGGUGUCAUGCACAACGAGUCACGUGAUAAGAUGCACGGAUUGACGGUCUCAGAAGCGGAGGCAACUGAGACUUGUCCUCCACCACCCGGAUUGAGGUGAGUAACCGCGCCACCACGAGGACCUACUAAGUAGUGGGAAUUGGGCAUUCCAAAUUGGAAGGGGAUUAAAAAAAACAAAAACAAUUGAUUCCCCAAAGAUGUGCAGAUAAAGUUGCACUUCAGCUACAAACAUUCACAUGUACAAAGAAAAAUUACAUGUAUUGAACAGGAUCCAACUUCAGUAAAGAGAACACUAUAAUCACCCACAAACAACUAAUCACAGUAAAACAACAUCAAAAAGAGCUCAAAUCUCUAUUAAUUCUGAACAACAACUAAUUAAAUGCCCCAAUAAGUUUCACUCUAAGUUCACUUUAUAAUUUAUAUUUUGUGUUGUACACAUUAAUGCAAAUUUAGCUGUCACUUACACAAUAUAAAGGAAGUCUAUGAGUCGUGCUGUCAAAUUGGCUUUCGUUGCAAGAUUUUGGUCACCCAGAGUGUCAUCUCUUGACCAAAUACUGUCUUCGACUGUUAGCAAUUCAGACAGACAGAAACACAAUAACUGCAUGUUGUAAAUGUGAUUUUAAUUUGAUAGACAAAAGAGACUAAAAUGCACAUUCAUUAUGACAAUCUAAAGCAAACUAAAACAUUGUGUAUCAAAAAUCAUGUCAACACACUACAAACCGAAGACUUUCGAUGAAGACUUUCGCUUCAGAAUGCAGACUUUACAUCGACUGGAGACCCAACACAGGACCAAAACUCUUCAUCAUACAAAACUAAUCAAAAAUGCCCUUAAAAUCAAACGCUGAAAUGUAUAAAUGUUACCAAAAUCCCAAUAACAUGCUAAAUUAUUAACACAAGUUGAACAGGAAAAUGGACAAGUUUGGUUUCUACGGCUUUCUCUGAAACCCCUGUUUUUAGUUUCCCAAAGUAUGCGGUCCUAGAGAGCAUUUUAAGCCUUCAUUUUCAGGAGGAAAACGUUGUAUCAAUGUCUUGUCACAUGAUUAGUGUGAGUAGUCACAUGACUACUGUAAAUUUCUCUUUUGAAUUUUCAAUAAUUCACCACACAAAACACAUUGUGGUUGACUAUGUUUCUGUAUAUUACCGGUGAACAAACCUUGUGUAGUUUUGUUCAUGGAUUUUGAGGAUGAGUGCAUGUCACACAACCUGUCCACGUUGA